rnacentral:rRNA from 2 species
CAACUUUCAGCAACGGAUCUCUUGGCUCUCGCAUCGAUGAAGAACGCAGCGAAAUGUGAUAAGUAAUGUGAAUUGCAGAAUUCAGUGAAUCAUCGAAUCUUUGAACGCACCUUGCGCUCCUUGGUAUUCCGAGGAGCAUGCCUGUUUGAGUGUCAUUA